GCAGGCAGUGGCCGGCCGGCCGGCCGGCAAAAACAAUGGCGCCUGCCGCGACGAGUGUAAAUCGUAAAUAGUGCUGUUUAUUUUUAAUUUCAUCAGUGAAUUUGAUCAUUAACGAAAUAAAGAGUGACCCUAAAUCGUAAAAAAUAGGUAGUUACGCGAAAUUUACUUCUAUUUCUCGUGAACCAGAGUGAAAAUUAUGAAUAAACUCGCUCUCAACUUUGGCCUCGCUUCGGUUAUCACCAUUCAAAUUCCAGAUUUACGACGUAAAACCACAAACCACAAUCAUAGCACCAUGGCUGCAGUUCAAUUGCGGCCUUCCAUAACUAUAGGCAUCGAUGCUGGCACCAGCACAUACCUACUCCAGUUGCCAAAACCCAGCGUAGAUAACAUCAAGAAGAAAGCAGACAAAAAAGAAUUAAUUGUAUUCUUAUGCAACAAUAAUGCCGGCGAAGAUAUAAAAGUCAAUUCUACUCUUCAUGAAAUGGCCACAGCAGCGCAUAAUUUGCUAGACCUUCUGGACAGAAACAUUAUCAUCGGGCCCUUACCGGUGGUGGCCGGUCAAGUGGCCGCUGCACCGCCACAGGCAGUCGGCCAGCUUGGCGCGGCUCCCGCCCCUGUGAUGAAUAUUGCAGCUAUAACUGCUAUGCUAGGUGCGGGGUUUACUGCACUUGCUGCGGCACUGGCGGCGCCCCCCCCUGCCCGCCGCGGCGCCUGCCGUGCCCGCGCCCCCCGCCGCGGCGGCGCCGCCACCGGUGCCCGGCGUCCACGGUGGGCGAAAAAGUUAUUAAGGAGUCAGCUAAUUUUCGCAAGUUCAAGAGCAUGCGUUGAAUGCGCGAAUUACAAGUGACAUGUUUGCUUACUGUUUGUAAAAUUAUAAUUCAAUUUUAUCACUUUAGAUUUGAUUUUUGAAUUUUGGCCAUGGCGUGGAAAAUUACUUCACAGCUGACUAAUUUUAAUUGCCUGUGCGAGUGGGAGAGCGGCCGAAUGUAUAUUAUGAAUUGAUGAGCGCAAGAUGACGCGGCUUGUUCUGCUUCACUGUGAUCUAAUUUACAUGCAUUUACAGUUAAAACAACUUCGGCUUAAUUAAACCAACGGCUCUGCGCAAUUAAUCUGUUUCGAAUUGGAAAUUACGAUAUGAAUAAAAAAUAACCAUUUCAAGUGUAAUUUUUUGGGCCAAUAAUUUCAUAAAAUUGAUCAUAUUCUUGUUAAAAUUAUAUUUCCCUUUCAAAUAAAAAUCUUCAAUUUAUUCAAAGAAAUUAAUCAUUAAUUUAAUGCCUGCAAACACUAUUAUUUUGAUGUUUCAAUUAAUUGGACAUUGGUGUGGAAUAAUUAUUUUAUUCCUCUCUUAAUUUGUUUGUUUUGACUGUGGCUGUGUCAUCGGAGAACUUCAUUGUUAUUUUUAUUCAAUUAAUUUUCGGCUUACAAUUAAAUUCAUUUUUUUAAGGGCUUUCUUUUUAAUUAAUCUUUUUUUAAUUUCUGGCAAUUGUUUUGAGUUGAAUUCUUUUAAAUUAAUCUUGCGAUUAUUUUAAAUUUAAAGUAGCUUUAAAUUUACAAAUAAUUAGUAUAAAUUCAAUUGGAAUUAGCUUGUAGAAUUCAUGGGAUUCCAAUUCACUUCAAGGGAAUUUAUAGAGGCAUUUUAGAAUUCAACUGUAAAUUCACAGAACUUUCUAGAUGCAUCUAGAAAGUUCUCAAUGUAAAUCAAAUGGGUGGGUGGGUUUUGCACGACCCUCCCAGGGCUGCUACCCGCGCUAUAAAAGGCGCUCCGUCCGCUGGCUCGAUGCAGAAGGCUGACAGACCUCAGAGAAAUCAGAGGACACCUGGACACCCAGUGCAGUUUCGGACGCCCGUCCGAUCCCUUCGCACCCGUCCGAGCUGUCCCACGGCGCUGACCGCUGUCCUGUCCCGGCGCUGUCUCGUCCGAGAACAGCCGGAAGGCCGACCGCGUCCCGAGCCCCUCGAGAGACACACCUGUGUCCCUCGUACUGUCCCGGAUGCGGCUGAGCCGUCCGAAGCCGUACGGAGCAAUUUUGCCAGCUCCUUCCUGUCCGAGGAAUCGGGCGCCGACGUGGCACGCCGCCAGCGAGCGCUCGGACGAAGGCGUCCGAACGUCCGCCGCCAGAGACCUGCACGCCGUGGGCCCCGGCCGCGCCGAGAGCCGCCGCCGGCCUGCAGGAGCCGUCCGGGUUCCCAGCAAGGACGUUUCCAGGGCAGCCUGCCGGCCUACCCAGGGAACACCGCUCCCAUUUGUUGAUUUUUAAGUGACAUUGAACGAACCAAUUUCGAGUCAGUGAAAUUUGCUCAUUCUGCCAGAAUUGUUGUGUUAAAUAAAGCCCGUGUGUAAGCUGA